CGGGGGGGGCAAGCGUUGUUCGGAAUUACUGGGCGUAAAGGGCUCGUAGGCGGCCAACUAAGUCAGACGUGAAAUCCCCAGGCUCAACCUGGGAACUGCGUCUGAUACUGGAUGGCUUGAAUCCGGGAGAGGGAUGCAGAAUUCCAGGUGUAGCGGUGAAAUGCGUAGAUAUCUGGAGGAAUACCGGUGGCGAAGGCGGCAUCCUGGACCGGCAUUGACGCUGAGGAGCGAAAGCCAGGGGAGCAAACGGGAUUAGAUACCCCGGUAGUCCUGGCCCUAAACGAUGAAUGCUUGGUGUAACGGGUACCGAUCCCUGUUGUGCCGAAGCUAACGCAUUAAGCAUUCCGCCUGGGGAGUACGGUCGCGAGGCUG
rnacentral:rRNA from 1 species